rnacentral:lncRNA from 1 species
GUGGACAAGGUUGGUUCAAUUUGUCUCAUUGUUGAAGGCCAUACGGUUACCUCUUAUUGUUAAUUUCUGUCUCAUUUUGGUCUCUUGUGGAUAGUUGUCUCAUUGGCAAUCAUACCACAUCUUCUUUUUUUUAUAUAUCAGUAGUUAUAGAGGAGAAGAUUUUUGUAAAAGUUUUAAAAAAUUGACUAUAAAGGUCAAUAACUCCUUAAGGGGUCAACUGACCAUUUUUGUCAUCU